rnacentral:rRNA from 1 species
UACGAAGGGGGCUAGCGUUGCUCGGAAUCACUGGGCGUAAAGGGUGCGUAGGCGGGUCUUUAAGUCAGGGGUGAAAUCCUGGAGCUCAACUCCAGAACUGCCUUUGAUACUGAGAGACUUGAGUCCGGGAGAGGUGAGUGGAACUGCGAGUGUAGAGGUGAAAUUCGUAGAUAUUCGCAAGAACACCAGUGGCGAAGGCGGCUCACUGGCCCGGUACUGACGCUGAGGUGCGAAAGCGUGGGGAGCAAACAGGG